rnacentral:rRNA from 1 species
UACGUAGGGUGCGAGCGUUAAUCGGAAUUACUGGGCGUAAAGCGUGCGCAGGCGGUUUUGUAAGCCAGAUGUGAAAUCGCCGGGCUUAACCUGGGAGUGGCAUUUGGGACUGCAAGGCUGGAGUGUGGCAGAGGAGACUGGAAUUCCCGGUGUAGCAGUGAAAUGCGUAGAUAUCGGGAGGAAUACCGAUGGCGAAGGCAGGUCUCUGGGCUGACACUGACGCUCAUGCACGAAAGCGUGGGGAGCAAACAGG